rnacentral:rRNA from 1 species
UACGUAGGGGGCAAGCGUUGUCCGGAAUCAUUGGGCGUAAAGCGCAUGUAGGCGGUUUGUUAAGUCUGGUGUGAAAGCUCAAGGCCUAACCUUGAAAUUGCAUUGGAAACUGGCAAACUAGAAUACUGGAGGGGUAAGUGGAAUUCCAUGUGUAGCGGUGGAAUGCGUAGAUAUAUGGAGGAACACCAAUGGCGAAGGCAGCUUACUGGACAGUUAUUGACGCUGAGAUGCGAAAGCGUGGGGAGCAAACAGG